AGAGUCUUGUAGAGGGGGGUAGAAUUCCAGGUGUAGCGGUGAAAUGCGUAGAGAUCUGGAGGAAUACCGGUGGCGAAGGCGGCCCCCUGGACAAAGACUGACGCUCAGGUGCGAAAGCGUGGGGAGCAAACAGGAUUAGAUACCCUGGUAGUCCACGCCGUAAACGAUGUCGAUUUGGAGGUUGUGCCCUUGAGGCGUGGCUUCCGGAGCUAACGCGUUAAAUCGACCGCCUGGGGAGUACGGCCGCAAGGUUAAAACUCAAAUGAAUUGACGGGGGCCCGCACAAGCGGUGGAGCAUGUGGUUUAAUUCGAUGCAACGCGAAGAACCUUACCUGGUCUUGACAUCCACAGAACUUUCCAGAGAUGGAUUGGUGCCUUCGGGAACUGUGAGACAGGUGCUGCAUGGCUGUCGUCAGCUCGUGUUGUGAAAUGUUGGGUUAAGUCCCGCAACGAGCGCAACCC
rnacentral:rRNA from 1 species